UUUAAUAGGCAAAACUUGGGAAACCCAGUGACGCAAAACUAUAGGGGCUAAAGUCAAAUGACUAUGCCAGCCAGCUGCCGAA
rnacentral:ncRNA from 1 species